GAAGGGGUCCAAAUGAAACCCUAUCUAGAGUCCGGCAAGAAAAAUAGUGAGAGAAAGGGGUUAGAGAGAACCUAGAGAGAGGAGGAAGAAUGAACGGCCGGAAGACUCACCGAAAACUACCUACUCCGGUCAAGAUCAUGAUGUAAGGAGCCCUUCUUGGAAGGGAAAAGAGAAUGUGGGUGGCCGGAGUCCCAUUUUCCAUCAAGAAAUCAGAAAAACCCACGAGGAACAACUCUAUACAGGAUCUUUGAAGAAGUUUGGCUGAAACUACAAUCCGAAGGCAGAAACCCAAGAAUCGUCCAAGAACGGUGAGCGAACUUCCGACGCUCUUAACUCGACCUGUAGUCAAGCAAAAAAAUUACAAAAAAUACUAGGACGUAGCCUGUGACACGAUCUAGAACUUUGCCGAAGAAAUCAUACCGAUCCGAUCUACGGAUUGAAAGAUAUGAAAAUCGGAAAAGGGGACUGUGUUACGGAUUUCAGAAGACAGAAGAAAAAGAAAAAAAAAAGAAAA